UAUUAGAUGCAAUUAUACUACUAUUAACCUAUUUUCAGGCUCUUCUGUCAAAUGUCUUCGCUAUACUCAUAUUUCAAGCAAAAGUUGCAUCAGGGUUUUCAUUAUAUUAUAUAUUUUUAACUUCUAGAAUAUGUUCUGUGGACACUACAGAUGCAGACUAAAUCACAUGCAAAGAGAAUCUGUCAGCCCUAACAAUAACAAUGGCUCUUGUAUGAUGAGCAGGUGAGACCAGGUAAUCACCGAAGAAGGAGAGUGGUGUGUUCAUUGAAGUCUACUCAUGGAGGAAAGAAGCUGUCCCCUAGCAAAGAAUAAAACUGUGGACUGACCCCCACCCAUUUGCGAAGAAAGUACUGGGUCUUCAGCUUUCAUUGUCCAGUCGGUGGUCUUUGUGGACACCAGGGUCCUCUCCUGCUGAAGACUAUCUGGACUUCCUGAUUUUCACUCCUGUAUAAACCCCCUCCCCCAUUAGUACCUUUGUCUCCUUGGCAAAAAAAAAAAAAUGUUUUUCACUUAAGUAAAAUAAAAACUACCCAGUAUUUGUUUCUGGAGUGAAAUUAUAAACUUCAUUGUACAUUCUUCCUGGUUUUGAUGCUUAUCUUGAAGAGUUCAGUGAAAAUAAAUUGUUUUUAUGAAAGCA